GUUGCUGAGUAAUCAUGAUGCAAAUGGUCUAGAAAAAAUUGUAGUGAGAGAACAUAGAAAAAGAAGAGACUUCCAUUUGAAGAGAUGCAUGCAAUGCAAAUAUACUCUCUGAAAGGGAGAACAAAAGGAUUAGGCUCAUAGGAAGAUGUUAAACAGGCUCCUUACAUGGGUUAAAUUACAAAGGAAGAUGUUCGUUUGGAAAUAACAGACCAAUGCAAGAAAAUCAUUGGAUUAAACAACAUGGCAUAAUGAAUAUAUGAAAGCAACAAA